rnacentral:rRNA from 1 species
ACGAACGCUGGCGGCGUGCUUAACACAUGCAAGUCGAACGGAAAGGCCCUGCUUUUGUGGGGUGCUCGAGUGGCGAACGGGUGAGUAACACGUGAGUAACCUGCCCUUGACUUUGGGAUAACUUCAGGAAACUGGGGCUAAUACCGGAUAGGAGCUCCUGCUGCAUGGUGGGGGUUGGAAAGUUUCGGCGGUUGGGGAUGGACUCGCGGCUUAUCAGCUUGUUGGUGGGGUAGUGGCUUACCAAGGCUUUGACGAGUAGCCGGCCUGAGAGGGUGACCGGCCACAUUGGGACUGAGAUACGGCCCAGACUCCUACGGGAGGCAGCAGUGGGGAAUAUUGCACAAUGGGCGGAAGCCUGAUGCAGCAACGCCGCGUGCGGGAUGACGGCCUUCGGGUUGUAAACCGCUUUCGCCUGUGACGAAGCGUGAGUGACGGUAAUGGGUAAAGAAGCACCGGCUAACUACGUGCCAGCAGCCGCGGUGAUACGUAGGGUGCGAGCGUUGUCCGGAUUUAUUGGGCGUAAAGGGCUCGUAGGUGGUUGAUCGCGUCGGAAGUGUAAUCUUGGGGCUUAACCCUGAGCGUGCUUUCGAUACGGGUUGACUUGAGGAAGGUAGGGGAGAAUGGAAUUCCUGGUGGAGCGGUGGAAUGCGCAGAUAUCAGGAGGAACACCAGUGGCGAAGGCGGUUCUCUGGGCCUUUCCUGACGCUGAGGAGCGAAAGCGUGGGGAGCGAACAGGCUUAGAUACCCUGGUAGUCCACGCUGUAAACGGUGGGUACUAGGUGUGGGGUCCAUUCCACGGGUUCCGUGCCGUAGCUAACGCUUUAAGUACCCCGCCUGGGGAGUACGGCCGCAAGGCUAAAACUCAAAGGAAUUGACGGGGCCCCGCACAAGCGGCGGAGCAUGCGGAUUAAUUCGAUGCAACGCGUAGAACCUUACCUGGGUUUGACAUGGAUCGGGAGUGCUCAGAGAUGGGUGUGCCUCUUUUGGGGUCGGUUCACAGGUGGUGCAUGGCUGUCGUCAGCUCGUGUCGUGAGAUGUUGGGUUAAGUCCCGCAACGAGCGCAACCCUUGUUCACUGUUGCCAGCACGUUAUGGUGGGGACUCAGUGGAGACCGCCGGGGUCAACUCGGAGGAAGGUGGGGAUGACGUCAAGUCAUCAUGCCCCUUAUGUCCAGGGCUUCACGCAUGCUACAAUGGCUGGUACAGAGAGUGGCGAGCCUGUGAGGGUGAGCGAAUCUCGGAAAGCCGGUCUCAGUUCGGAUUGGGGUCUGCAACUCGACCUCAUGAAGUCGGAGUCGCUAGUAAUCGCAGAUCAGCAACGCUGCGGUGAAUACGUUCCCGGGGCUUGUACUCACCGCCCGUCAA